rnacentral:tRNA from 1 species
GUCAAUGUGGAUCAAUCGGACCGCUCACUGGACUCACAAUCCAGAGGUCGCUGGUUCGAAUCCCGCAGUAGGCG